UGGCCCUGGCCUGGGUGGGUGGGGGUCCCCCGGGGAGCACAGCGCAGUGCUAGGGCCCCUGUAGCAGAUUCCCAGGAGACACACACCCAGCUGGGCCUGCUGACACUAGCCCUGCAUUCCCACACCCCCUCCCCUGGCCCUCUCAGCUGCCUUGUCCUCUCCUGGUCAGCUGCCUGGGGACACUGUCACGAUGCCUGGCCCCUGACCUUGCCCGAAGCUCCUCGGUGUCUGGACAUUCAGCCCGACAUGCUCUGAGGUUUGGGGCAGGUCCAGCACUCUGUGGGUCCACCCCAUCAGCCCUCAGGGUGGGACUCAUGCAGCCACAGUUUGAGAGUUCCAGGAACCACAAGUCCUGAGUCAGCGGGCACCUGACCCCUUAUGUCACCUGCCCCAGGUGGAAGGAGACGCUACAGGGACCAAGCAUGCCCCACCUUCGCUUCCGGGACCACAGAGCCCCUGGAGCCUGCACGCCACGGAGUCUCCCACUGAGGAGUGAGGAGGCCUCUUGUGGGGACAGAUCUGGAAUGAGUGGCAUCCAAACCUGACUCAUAUUUCCAACUUUAUUAAUUUUUGCAAGACUUCGGAGGGUGCUCUGUGGCGAUUAAUAUUGCUGAGCUGAGCACAGCUGCAGUACUUUCCUGUAAAACUGACUAAAGGAGAAGUUGGUGUCUUCCUCAUACAAGAAAUACAUAAAUCAGUUAAAAAUA